UACUAUUUAUAUUCAUUAUGAUCUCCUGG
rnacentral:piRNA from 1 species